rnacentral:rRNA from 1 species
GACGUAGGGCGCGAGCGUUGUCCGGAUUUAUUGGGCGUAAAGAGCUCGUAGGCGGUGUGUCACGUCGUUCGUGAAAACCCGCGGCUUAACUGCGGGCUUGCAGUUGAUACGGGCAGGCUAGAGUUCGGUAGGGGAGGACUGGAAUUCCUGGUGUAGCGGUGAAAUGCGCAGAUAUCAGGAGGAACACCGGUGGCGAAGGCGGGUCUCUGGGCCGAUACUGACGCUGAGGAGCGAAAGCGUGGGGAGCGAACAGG